rnacentral:rRNA from 1 species
GACGAACGCUGGCGGCGUGCCUAAUACAUGCAAGUCGAACGCAGUGGGGACGGGUGAGUAACACGUGGGUAACCUCCCAUCAGAGGGGAAAACACUUGGAAACAGGUGCUAAACCGAUACUGCUGGAUGGACUCGCGGUGCAUUUGCUAGUUGGUGGGGUAAAGGCUCAACUAGGCGACGAUCUCUAGCUGGUCUGAGAGGGUGAUCAGCCACACUGUGACUGAGACACGGCCCAGACUCCUACGGGAGGCAGCAGUGGGGAAUAUUGCACAAUGGGCGCAAGCCUGAUGCAGCCAUGCCGCGUGUAUGAAGAAGGCCUUAGGGUUGUAAAGUACUAUCAGCGGGGAGGCGUUACCCGCAGAGGAAGCACCGGCUAACUCCGUGCCAGCAGCCGCGGUAAUUC